rnacentral:rRNA from 1 species
UACGUAGGGUGCGAGCGUUGUCCGGAAUUAUUGGGCGUAAAGAGCUUGUAGGCGGUUUGUCGCGUCUGCUGUGAAAUCUCAAGGCUCAACCUUGAGCUUGCAGUGGGUACGGGCAGACUAGAGUGUGGGUAGGGGAGACUGGAAUUCCGUGGUGUAGACGGUGAAAUGCGCAGAAUAUCAGGGAGGGAACACCGGUGGGCGAAAGGCGGG